AGGUGGAGCAAAACUCAAAAACUUGUCUCAGUUCGGAUCGCAGGCUGCAACCCGCCUGCGUGAAGUUGGAAUCGCUAGUAAUCGCGGAUCAGCAUGCCGCGGUGAAUACGUUCCCGGGCCUUGUACACACCGCCCGUCACACCAUGAGAGUCGGGAACACCCGAAGUCCGUAGCCUAACCGCAAGGGGGGCGCGGCCGAAGGUGGGUUCGAUAAUUGGGGUGAAGUCGUAACAAGGUAAC
rnacentral:rRNA from 1 species